rnacentral:lncRNA from 1 species
UAUUCACCCAAUUGUCUUCAUACAUGUACUUUGGAUAAUAAUGUUCAUCACAUUCCAUCAUCAUCUCUAACCCCGUGCCCCCUCCCUUCCCCUCCCACCCCACUGCCCUAUCUAGAGUUCAUCUAUUCCUCCCAUGUUCCCUCUUCCUACCCCACUAUGAAUCAACCUCCUUAUAUCAGAGAAAACAUUCAGCAUUUGGUUUUUAGGAUUGGCUAACUUCACUUAGCAUUAUCUUCCCCACCGCCAUCCAUUUACCUGCAACUGUCAAGACUUUAUUCUCUUUUAUUGCUGAGUAAUAUUCCAUUGUGUAUAAAUGCCACAUUUUUUUUUUAUCCUGGACACAUAGCUGAAAUCUACAUCUACUGAAGGGCAUCUAGGUUGGUUCCACAGUUUAGCUAUUGUGAAUUUUGCUGCUAAAAACAUUGAUGUGGCUGUGUCCCUGUAGUAUUCUGUUUUUAGGUCCUUUGGGUACAGACUGGGGAGAGGGAUAGCUGGGUCAAAUGGUGGUUCCAUUCCCAAUUUUCCAAGAAAUCACCAUACUGCUUUCCAUAUUGACUGCAUCAAUAUGCAGUCCCACCAGCAGUGUAUUAGAGUACCUUUUCCCCACAUCCUCACCAAACUUAUUGUUGUUUGUAUUCAUAAUAGCUGCCAUUCUGACUGGAAUGAGAUGAAAUCUUGGAGUAGUUUUGAUUUGCAUUAAUUCCUGGUAUCUUAAAAAAAAAAAAAGAGAGAGAGAAGUAAGGCUGGGCACAGUGGUACAUGCCUAUAAUUCUAGUGACUUGGGAAGCUGAGACAGGAGGAUCAUGUAUUUGAGGCCAACCAUGGCAACUUAGUGAGAUCUUAUCUCAAAAUAAAAAAUAUGUACUAAAGUUUUCUAUUUAAUUAAUGUAAAUUAGUUGUUUCAUAUUGAUUUUUUUUAAUUUUUUAAUUGUAGUUGGACAUAAUACCUUUAUUUUUAUUUGUUUUUAUUUUUUUUAAUGUGGUGCUGAGGAUCAAACCCAGCGCCUCACACAUGCUAGGC